CACCCAACAGCUAGCCCAUUCUUC
rnacentral:rRNA from 1 species